rnacentral:misc_RNA from 1 species
CAACCCUCAAGCAAUGCUUGGUAUUGGGCUUCGCUGCUCACGUAGCGGGUCUUAAAAUCAGUGGCGGUGCCGUCGGGCCCUGAGCGCAGUAAAUAUCCUCGCUACAGGGACUCGGUGGACGCUGGCCAUCAACCCCCCCCACUCUCUCAGU